UGCUACUCUUCUGAAACCAUAAAAGUGAUAGAAAAAGAAACCAUAAGAAAAAGGUUUGUUGGAUUUCCUCUUUCAUAUUUUCACGACAUACAAUGACCCAAUGCCCUGUCUGGUGCCAUAUUAUACAUAUGAAAACCUGUCUGAAGCGUGGGCAUGGUUAGACUUUGAUGUGGUAAAGGGGAAUUCAGAUAUGUUGAUUUACACCACAGAUUUCCCGCAGAUAAAUUUAUGUGGAACGUUAAGGAGAGAAAUGCCAUACUCAUAUUACACACAUUACUGUAUGCUGCGACGAUCUCAGCAGACCUAGACAAGAUAUGGUACAAGAUGCACUUUAUCUCUGAAAUAAGCAGAACAGGAACCAGCAUAGUUUGAGCUCUUGAUUGUAAAUAGAUAACCUACUAAUGGAACGUGCAACUAUUGGUAUAAGUAGACCCUUCACCUAGGGAAAAAAAACAAAUUUGUUCCACAUUUAUUUGUAUUUAUGCAGACACCUAGGUACUUCUGUGUAUUUUGUUACACUUAUUAUUCUACAAUAUAACUGUAUAUUGUUUACGGGUGGUUGAACUUUCAUGGUAUAUUUUUCUUGUAUAUAACUAAUAACUGUACAAUAUUUGCUUAAAAAAGUUAUUUGUAUUGGAAUGCUAUCACAGUCUUUAGUUAUCCUGGGGUUUAUUCUA